rnacentral:misc_RNA from 1 species
UCAGAUGUGUUUGCAACUUUCAAGAAGUGGAAAGCUGAAGUUGAGAAUCAGACCGGUUUGAAAGUCAAAUGCCUAAGGUCUGACAAUGGAGGAGAGUAUGACAAAUCAGAGUUCAAGGAAUUCUGUGCAGCUGAGGGAAUCAGAUUGAUGAGAACAGUUCCUGGUAAGGCAAGGCAGAAUGAAAUUGCUGAGAGGAUGAACAGAACAUUGAAUGAGCGUGCAAG